GAGCUGGCUUUGGCCACUCAGGUACUAAAGGUGAAGCAAUACAGGGAAGAUUACCAUGGUCCCUCCACAAGGAUGGCAUGCAAAUUUAUAUUUUGCAUAGUCCC
rnacentral:snRNA from 1 species